rnacentral:tRNA from 1 species
AGCAAGGUCAGCUAAAACAAGCUCCCGGGCCCAUACCCCGAAAAUGUAGGUUAAAAUCCAACCCUCGCUA